UUAAUAGAAUGUUCCUCAUUUUGGGUUUGUCUGAUACAGAAACUGUCUUUUAAAUACCCUGCACUCAGGAAUAGUUCUAAGAAAUAUGAAUGGCGCGAGACUGCUGAAGCUGACCUCCCUGUCUCCACUGGUGGAAGGCACAGACCACCAGAGGGAGCAGCUGUGCCUGGCACUUCCUGAUUGAAGCACGCACCUCCUCUGGAAAACACCAUUGUCCCUCAGCAACAGGGGAGCCAUUCAAGCCCAGCCCUAUGCCCCUAUCCGUCACCAACCCCCAUAUUGAGAAAUGGAAUGUAACAGCAGCCAGGGCCUGCUUUCAGAUCUCACCACCGUGGGACCCAGGGCAUCACGUAUUCAGCAGGGAAUCCUGAUCAGGGAUGCCAUCAACCAAGAGGUCUUUUCCAAUCAAGAAACAGAGUGGCCCCCAUUGAAUUCAUAUUGUCAUAAUGCAGUAGACCUGGUGCCAGGAACCUGCAUUUGCACCAAAUGUAUUUUCACACCCAGAAGUGAAGGCCCAGGUCAUCUGAGAGUAUGAAGCUCAGCACCCACAUCAGUGUGUCAUUACAUACUGACCUUCCCCUGCAGGUGACCCAAUACCAUUUUUAAACUCUUGUAUUGAAGUAUAUCAAAUAUACAGGAAAGUGCAUAUAUCAUAAGGGUACAACUUGAUGAAUUUAUAGAAAAUGAACAUAUCCCUGUAAACAACAGUCAGAUCAAGAAACAGAACAUUACCCAUAAGUCAGGCCCCCCUCCUGCUUCCUUCCAGUCAAUAACUCCAAAGGGUAAUCCCUAUCCUGACUUCUUUCACUGUAGAUUAGUGUUGCCUUUUUUUUGCCUUCUAUAAAUGGAAUUGUUCAAUAUG